AUUGAACGCUGGCGGCAUGCUUUACACAUGCAAGUCGAACGGUAACAGGCCUUCGGGUGCUGACGAGUGGCGAACGGGUGAGUAAUGCAUCGGAACGUACCCAGAGGUGGGGGAUAACGCAGCGAAAGCUGUGCUAAUACCGCAUGUGAUCUGAGGAUGAAAGCGGGGGACCGAGCAGCAAUGUUUGGCCUCGCGCCUUUGGAGCGGCCGAUGUCGGAUUAGCUAGUUGGUGGGGUAAAGGCCUACCAAGGCGACGAUCGGUAGCUGGUCUGAGAGGACGACCAGCCACACUGGGACUGAGACACGGCCCAGACUCCUACGGGAGGCAGCAGUGGGGAAUUUUGGACAAUGGGCGCAAGCCUGAUCCAGCAAUGCCGCGUGCGGGAAGAAGGCCUUCGGGUUGUAAACCGCUUUUGGCAGGAACGAAACGGUGUCCGCUAAUACCGGGCGCUAAUGACGGUACCUGCAGAAUAAGCACCGGCUAACUACGUG
rnacentral:rRNA from 1 species